rnacentral:rRNA from 1 species
UAAUGGAGGCAACUCUGAACCAGCCAUGCCGCGUGCAGGAUGACGGUCCUAUGGAUUGUAAACUGCUUUUGUACAGGAAGAAACCUCGCUACGUGUAGUGAUUUGACGGUACUGUAAGAAUAAGGAUCGGCUAACUCCGUGCCAGCAGCCGCGGUAAUACGGAGGAUCCGAGCGUUAUCCGGAAUUAUUGGGUUUAAAGGGUUCGUAGGCGGUUGGAUAAGUCAGUGGUGAAAUUUCUUAGCUUAACUAAGACCCGGCCAUUGAUACUGUUUGACUUGAAUAGUAUGGAAGUAACUAGAAUAUGUAGUGUAGCGGUGAAAUGCUUAGAUAUUACAUGGAAUACCAAUUGCGAAGGCAGGUUACUACGUACUUAUUGACGCUGAUGAACGAAAGCGUGGGGAGCGAACAGGAUUAGAUACCCUGGUAGUCCACGCCGUAAACGAUGGAUACUAGCUGUUCGGUUUUCGGACUGAGUGGCUAAGCGAAAGUGAUAAGUAUCCCACCUGGGGAGUACGUUCGCAAGAAUGAAACUCAA